CGAAACUACAGCACAGACUCUGAAAUGCUAAGGCCGAUUCUAUUUUUUGAUUGCGAGUACAGCUGUGCUCUGCGAUAACGAGCUGGCAGACAUGUCUGAUAUAAACUGAAACAUCGACGCCAUAGUGGAACGUGGAAAAAUGCCCAAUUGAGCAGCAAUAUAAGGUCACGUCUUGCAGUCUCGUACGGUUUAAAUUGCUGACGAAGCACCUGGGAGUAUUCUAACACCUUCAGUGGCGCGCCGGCUCUUGCUAUUAUUCCUGGGCGCCUGUAACCAGUUGCUCCGCUUAGGCUUUUUCUUCUUUUUCACCCUCAUAAACGCCGUGUCUGGUCUGGAGGAGGAGGAGGAAUAAACUUUUAC
rnacentral:lncRNA from 1 species